CGAAAGCCUGACGGAGCAAUACCGCGUGAGGGAAGAAGGUCUAACAGAUUGUCAACCUCUUUUCUUAGGGAAGAAAAAUGACGGUACCUAAGGAAUAAGCAUCGGCUAACUCCGUGCCAGCAGCCGCGGUAAUACGGGGGAUGCAAGCGUUAUCCGGAAUUAUUGGGCGUAAAGCGUCCGCAGGUGGUUAUACAAGUCUGCUGUCAAAGACCAGAGCUUAACUCUGGAAAGGCGGUGGAAACUGUAAGACUAGAGACCGGUAGGGGUAGAGGGAAUUCCCAGUGUAGCGGUGAAAUGCGUAGAGAUUGGGAAGAACACCAGUGGCGAAGGCGCUCUACUGGGCCGGAACUGACACUCAGGGACGAAAGCU
rnacentral:rRNA from 1 species